rnacentral:rRNA from 1 species
AGAGUUUGAUCCUGGCUCAGAACGAACGCUGGCGGCGUGCUUAACACACGCAAGUCGAACGAGAAAGUUUCCUUCGGGAAAUGAGUAGAGUGGCGCACGGGUGAGUAACGCGUAGGUAAUCUACCCUUAUAUUUGGGAUAACAGACCGAAAGGUCUGCUAAUACCGGAUACCCUUUUGGUUAUGCGAAUAACUUUGAGGAAAGGUGGCCUCUUCAUGAAAGCUACCGUAUAGGGAUGAGCCUGCGUACCAUUAGCUAGUAGGUGGGGUAACGGCCCACCUAGGCAACGAUGGUUAGCGGGUCUGAGAGGAUGAUCCGCCACACUGGAACUGGAACACGGACCAGACUCCUACGGGAGGCAGCAGUGAGGAAUAUUGCGCAAUGGGGGCAACCCUGACGCAGCGACGCCGCGUGAGUGAGGAAGGUUUUCGGAUCGUAAAGCUCUGUCAGAAGGGAAGAAAUGUUAUAUGGUUAAUACCCAUAUAAUUUGACGGUACCUUCAGAGGAAGCACCGGCUAACUCCGUGCCAGCAGCCGCGGUAAUACGGAGGGUGCGAGCGUUGUUCGGAAUUACUGGGCGUAAAGGGCGCGUAGGCGGCUUGAUAAGUCAGAUGUGAAAGUCCAUGGCUCAACCGUGGAAGUGCAUUUGAAACUGUCUGGCUUGAGUAUUGGAGGGGAAAGUGGAAUUCCCGGUGUAGAGGUGAAAUUCGUAGAGAUCGGGAGGAACACCUGUGGCGAAGGCGACUUUCUGGACAAAUACUGACGCUGAGGCGCGAAAGCGUGGGGAGCAAACAGGAUUAGAUACCCGGGUAGUCCCAGCCGUAAACGAUGCAUGCUAGGUGUUGGGUUGGCCACGAGCCACCCCAGUGCCGCAGGGAAGCCGUUAAGCAUGCCGCCUGGGAAGUACGAUCGCAAGAUUGAAACUUAAAGGAAUUGGCGGGGGAGCACCACCAGGCGUAAAGCCUGCGGUUUAAUUGGAGUCAACGCCGGGAACCUUACCGGGAGCGACAGCAGAAUGAAGGCCAGAUUGAAGAUCUUGCCAGACGAGCUGAGAGGAGGCGCAUGGCCGUCGCCAGUUCGUGCCGUGAGGUGUUCUCUUAAGUGAGAUAACGAACGAGACCCGUGCCACAUGUUGCCACCAGUAUCUAAAGGAUAGCUGAGCACUCUUGUGGGACCGCAGCCGAUAAGGCUGAGGAAGGUACGGGCAACGGCAGGUCAGUAUGACCCGAAUCUCCCGGGCCACACGCGGGCUGCAAUGGUACAGACAGAGGGCUGCCACCCCGAAAGGGGGAGCCAAUCCCUAAACUGUACCUCAGUUGGGAUCGAGGGUUGCAACCCACCCUCGUGAACAUGGAAUGCCUAGUAACCGCCAGUCAUCAUCUGGCGGUGAAUACGUCCCUGCUCCUUGCACACACUGCCCGUCGAACCACCCGAAUGAGGUUUGGGUGAGGAAUGGUCGAAUGUUGGCCGUUUCGAACCUGGGCCUCGUAAGGAGGGUUAAGUCGUAACAAGGUG